GAUGAACGCUAGCGGCAGGCCUAACACAUGCAAGUCGAGGGGUAGCAGGAUUAAGCUUGCUUAAUUGCUGACGACCGGCGCACGGGUGCGUAACGCGUAUGCAACCUACCUUAUACUGGGGUAUAGCCCGGAGAAAUUCGGAUUAAUCUCCCAUAGUACUAAUGAAUCGCAUGGUUUAUUAGUUAAAGCAUUGCGGUAUAAGAUGGGCAUGCGUACUAUUAGCUAGAUGGUGAGGUAGCGGCUCACCAUGGCUACGAUAGGUAGGGGGCCUGAGAGGGUGGUCCCCCACACUGGUACUGAGACACGGACCAGACUCCUACGGGAGGCAGCAGUGAGGAAUAUUGGUCAAUGGGCGCAAGCCUGAACCAGCCAUGCCGCGUGCAGGAAGAAUGCCCUAUGGGUUGUAAACUGCUUUUAUUUGGGAAUAAACCUCUUUACGUGUAGAGAGCUGAAGGUACCAAAUGAAUAAGCACCGGCUAACUCCGUGCCAGCAGCCGCCGUAA
rnacentral:rRNA from 1 species